rnacentral:lncRNA from 1 species
GAGCCAAUUGUCGAUGGAAAAUUCAGAUUUCUUGUCGGACAGAGAGACAUUCCGUCGUAGGAUCUAUGAAAUCACCAUAGUUUCAGCUCUUGUAAGUAAUUUAUAAUAUACAUUUUAUUAUUCUGUCAGCUUUCGUUGUAAAGAGAUCCGUAAGUGCGUACUGUACGUACUUAAACGAAUAUUAUUUUGAGUUAGUUAUAAGUUUCCAAUAUCGGAAAUUUGCCUAAACGGUUAAGGAAAGAAUUUCCUUACAUACAUUAAUUAUGCGCGCGCGAAAUCAUUCUAUUAACGUUAUUAAAUUGAUCGGGAAUAUUUUAGAAUAGAUCGUGAUGUGAGUUCUUAAUGCCAACGGCGAUGUUAUACGAUUCAAUAAACUCUCUAGGCAAUUUUCUUACAUGCUUAAUAGUUUUAUUUUUCUGUAAGCAUCUUUAUAAAUUAAUUACUGUCAAAAUAUCGUUGGGAUUUAGCAGUUUUUUUGCGAAUGAAGGCCGACAUUGGGUUUCAUUGGGAUUUAUAUUGGCAAUGGAAAUCGUGAUACGAAAUUAAUGGGAACAUAACUAUAGAAAUGAAAUAAAUUAGCAAUAAGAGAUUUUUUGACAGAAUAGUCGUAAUGUGUCAUGAAAGAAAUAUGUGAUUUAUAUAAAAACACACAAGAAAUUAAUGUAUUCGGAAAUUUCGAGAGAUAAUUACGGAAUUUAAACAAGGUUUUCACAGAAUGUUAACCAGACCAAGCGCAUAAAGCAACGCUGCCGUCAUAAAUGAAUAAGAUAUCCGUGUAUGGUUUGUCGGAAACGAGUUAUUCGUGUUUAUACGAUCAAGUAUUUGCUACGGUUCGAUUCUUUCGGGCAAAUGCAUUUGAACGUUCGAUUGCGUAAUUAAAUGUUAUCGUAGCUUCAUUGCGGAGCAGACUUUGAAAUUGUCGUUCCUCGUACUGAAAGGAGAAUACGCUAUUACAGAGGAGGAGGAAGAGAGGUGGUA